rnacentral:rRNA from 1 species
GUAGGGAAUCUUCGGCAAUGGACGGAAGUCUGACCGAGCAACGCCGCGUGAGUGAAGAAGGUUUUCGGAUCGUAAAGCUCUGUUGUAAGAGAAGAACGAGUGUGAGAGUGGAAAGUUCACACUGUGACGGUAUCUUACCAGAAAGGGACGGCUAACUACGUGCCAGCAGCCGCGGUAAUACGUAGGUCCCGAGCGUUGUCCGGAUUUAUUGGGCGUAAAGCGAGCGCAGGCGGUUAGAUAAGUCUGAAGUUAAAGGCUGUGGCUUAACCAUAGUACGCUUUGGAAACUGUUUAACUUGAGUGCAAGAGGGGAGAGUGGAAUUCCAUGUGUAGCGGUGAAAUGCGUAGAUAUAUGGAGGAACACCGGUGGCGAAAGCGGCUCUCUGGCUUGUAACUGACGCUGAGGCUCGAAAGCGUGGGGAGCAAACAGGAUUAGAUACCCUGGUAGUCCACGCCGUAACGAUGAGUGCUAGGUGUUAGACCCUUUCCGGGGUUUAGUGCCGCAGCUAACGCAUUAAGCACUCCGCCUGGGGAGUACGACCGCAAGGUUG